rnacentral:tRNA from 1 species
GGCGACGUCGCCAAGUGGUAAGGCGAGGGUCUGCAAAACCCUUAUCGCCGGUUCGAAUCCGGCCGUCGCCU